rnacentral:lncRNA from 1 species
CUAAUUCACAACUACAUUGUGAAGGAUAGCCAGCUUAUUAUUCAAACUCUUUCAAUCAUGAUAUAUCUUUACCUUGUUGUUUUUAAACUUGCUGGGCAACUUUCAUGCUCACCCUUGCUAUAUCAUGAUAAAACAUUGCAGAUAAGGCGAAUACGGCCAGAUACAGAAAAAGGAUAAUGCCAAGUUCAGCUUGGUACAAAAUGUGAAGUUAAGUUGUAAAGUAUGUUGAAGAAUAGUAUUGUCAUGUGCUAGAUAGUUCAUGAUUGUGUAUAAGUGAAGGUUACUCGAUUUU